AGCAUAUCAGCUACGUGCAGCCAUAUUUAAAUACAUCAAGGCAAUUAGCGCAUCAAAAUAUGCAAAUCCCUCUUACUACAUAGUCCUGCCCGGCCGCAGUCGGAGUAAUUUUCCCCCCAGCCUGUUCCUGGGUGUUUGAUUGCCGUUUUGAAAGCCAACACAACGUUGUUUGUUUUUUCUCCAAGAAGCUACCUUAAUGUGAGCGGGACAGAAGGGAGACAUGAAGUGAAGGGGAACCGUGGUUCCUGCGUGGAAAACCGCCCAUGCGUAAUGAGACGACCCGCUCCGCCAUUCUCAAUUCUCCGACGCCGUUGGCUCUGGUAGAAAUGUGGUGUGAAGCAGCUCUUGGUGGCACAACGGGCAUUAUUUAGCUCCGGUCCAUCCGCGGCUCCUUGGGAGGACGAGGAUGACGAGGAUGGAGGUUGGGAUGGGUCUAGCCUAGACGACUAAACGGUGACAUCUAGCGGCGAGUUUGGAGAAUGUCACCGAUGAAAUAGGGGCCAGCGUCCCACGGUCAGUGAAGUUGCACACUGUAUGGAGACCCGCUCACCCCACGUACCACACCCAACACAUUCAGCUGUCCAAAUUCACGCGUAAAACAGUUUAUCUGCAUGCGCAAAUAUUAAGAGACGCCUUUUUGCACAGAUGCAGUCAUUGUAGCCUAAAGUGCACUGGAAGCAAAGCGUGUUUAAUGAAAGACUACUUAUUUUAACUUUUAAGAUGCCUAUACAGGUUCCAUUUUGGCCACUGGCAAAUUCAUUCGUGAUCUCUUGACUUAUUGAUUGAUUGGUUAAUUAUUCAUCUCCUAGUGUGUACCCGUUCUUCCACAUGGCCUGGUCCCAUCACACACACACUUUCAUAUACAGUUUUGUGUUUCCUUUUCCUCACGUCUGUCGAUCUCCUUCAACAGGAGAUGAAUCAGAUUCUGGCAACCUGUUCGCGUAUUCAAACGGCGACGUGCUUCGCAUCAGUCUGACCUUUUUGAGAAACUGUGAAAACUGUUGUCAAAAUAGAUUAUUUCUGGCAAAUAAUAAAUUAUGUUGUGUCUGCGGUGACCUUAUAAACCUUCUUCCCCACAGGCUACUGGAAUUAACCCUUCGCUUUCGCUACUGUGGCUGUAGGGUUAAUAUAAUGACGCAGGACGAAAAAAAAAGAAAAAAAAAUCAGGGAAACAGAUUAGACAUUUUAGAGGAAUCUAGAUUUAUCCCCUGCAGUAAUAUUGUCGAAAUAAAAAUGUUAUCAACUACACGCACUCACAAACACACGUAGCACAACAAACGAAAUGAGGAUUGUCGUAAAAUCUAACACACAUCCGUAAAUCCUAGAGUUGUUUUAAGAACUAUAAUAAAAUGCGUAAUUUCUGACUGCUCUUCUGUAUGUUAAGGGUCAACCGUUAUUAUGUCCUUAUUUUCGUUUUCACGCGCAUUCAGCACACUCAAGGCAAAAAUAUAGAGUUUUUGUUGCCACUGUGGGGAUUAUUUGUGAGAUUAAAUAAAACAAUUUCGAAAAUGUGUCGAAUCUGCUUCUUUGCGCACUGGGUAACGCGUGCGAUCACCGCGUUCGAUAAUAUCAUGUUUUAUAGUUGUUUUUGCGCCGAAAAGAAUCUAUGUAUAGAGGCUUUUUUUUUUUUCUCUUCUCCAGAUGCAAAACGUUAGUGCCAAAUAACUGAAUGGGUGGAGUAGAAAACACAAACGCAAACUGGACUACACUGAGCGUGUUAAAAAGGAAAUGACGAAAUAAAAUCCAAGCUAAGAAAGAUCAAAUUUAACGUGAGAGAAUAAAACGAGCAUUUUAAAUACAGGGAAUGUGAACACCUUUCUUCUUAUAAAAUCCGAUGCAUGUGAAUUACUAAAUUCUUGAAUAUCUAUACGAGUUUCUAAAGAAAACACACAAUUAAUAUCCACAUGACAUUAAAAAAAUACAUUAUAUAAAAAUACUUUAUCAGCGGGAAAACCUAAAAUGUUGAAAAGCUCGCUAUCGAAUUUCAAAUACAACGCAUGCGUCAGUGUUUUUUUUGCUCGCGGUUUGUUUUUUUUCUUUAAAAUCUAUUAGGGACAAAAGAUGCACCAAAAAGACGCACUUGGUGAUUUUUAAGAAAGCGAAACACACUGUAAUUUGAAAGGAAAUGGCACACUGUGAGAGAACCGCAGAGGCCUGCAAAAAAAAUGCCCCAAUUAAAAUAAACAUAUUUAAUUAUAUAGUCUGUGUUUGCGUCCUGGUAACGUCAUCGCCUACGCAAUAAAUGGUGUAACUGAUGUCACUUAUUAUUAUUAUAUUGUCAGAGGUCAGAAAUGUGUCACCCAGUGCUGUUAUGAUUUAAUACACAUUUGUGUCUGUGCUACCUUCUCCCUUAUCAGACACUCUUAUAACAUUAUUGUCACAAAGGAACAAGAAAAAAUAAAGAAACUCGUGGAUUUUA